CUCCUGUGGGAUAACAGUUGAUCACAACUGAAGAAUCAGCAAUGCAUAAAUUCUAUUUAAGAAGAAGUUCUUAAGAAAACCCAAAGAACAGGGAAGCUAAAAACCAAGAAUAUUAGAGGAAUUUGAAACUCUUGGAACCUACAGCUUUAGCAACUGUUAAUCACAGUCCACCAGAUUAACAUACAACCUCACAAUAAAGGUAUCUGUGUGUUUUCUGCUUUUUUGGAACAGGCUGGGAAUGAGUUAACUAGGUUGCUCAAAUCUUGUAUAGGUUAUAACUUAAUUUUGUCUGCUUGAUCUAGAAGAUCCUGAGAAAGAUGUAUAUAAACAACUUAUAUGUCAGUCCUAUGACAGAUACUCUUGAAAAUAGAGUCUGAAGAAAGGACUAAAGAAGAAAGGGUAAAGGAAAGGAAACUGAGAUAUGAAUAUUUAUAAAAAUGAUAUUGAUGAAGAAUUACAAGUCAAUACAAAAUAUAAAGGGACCUGAGAUUACAGGAGUACAUGGGGAUUUAGAGGAAAUUUUCACUGGGAGCAUGAAUACAGCAGAAGGAGAUACCUCAAAAAUGGCAAAAAGUCUCGGUAGGAUUGAAUGUCUUUCCUUCUCCUCCUCAAAACACACAUUCCAUGAAUACUAAACACUUCAGUUUUCUGAUGUGCACACUAUCAUGUGCCUUUGGGUAUGCUACUCUUUCUGCUCAGAAUGAACCUCUCUCCAAACCCUAUAAAUUUGAUGAAUGCUUACUUAUCAUUUAGAAUUAUCUUAAAUUCAUAAAUACGUUCUUCCCUACUUUCUCAUCAGAUAACCCUCACUCUCCUGUGCCUUGUAUAUAUUUCUGUUAUUAUGUUUCCUCACUAAACUGUUUUAUUUCUUUUACAUAUUUAUUUGUGUUUAUUAACCAUAUCAUCUUUGAGCUCCAGUUCAUGAUUCCUGGUUUUGCAUCCAUGGUAUAGAAUUCUUUAAGUUUUUGUUCCACUGAAUUGAAUUGAAUUGAAUUAAAUUUAUUGGUUGUGUAUUUUUCUAUGAAACCAUCUACACUCUUCCUUCAUUUUCCUUCUGACCAAUGGCAGGUAUUUGAGAGAUGGACAGGUUUAAGGGCACAGUCUUUUGAAAUGGAGCAGAACAAUGUUAAAUGAGCCACAAAGAGAUCAAUUCCUACAAUUAGACCACAGAAGCCUAAUACUCAGAACAACAAGCUCACCAUCUUGAGGGCUGUAAUGAAGCUAGAAAUACAUAUUCUCUUUCUUUGCUGUGGUUUGGCCUGUAAGAGAUCUAUAUUUCCAGACUUUUAGAAAACAGAAGCUAUUAAAAUAUAGUAAAUGUUUACUGGUAAAGUUAUUCACCUAUUUAAUGGAGAAGGUAAAACUAAUAUGAGUGAAAUGUAUUUUAAAGUCAUAAAACAAUUCAAAAAUUUAAGGAACUAGAGUAAGAUUGAAAAUAAUUAAAAAUGUAAACUACUUCAAGGGAAUUUCAUAAUAUCUAUAUUUUUUCAAUUUCAUAGUAGAAUCUUUUAUUUUAAAAUGUUUAUAAGUUCAUACUAUUCUAUAAUUUGAAUUCGUAAUAAAUUGUCCUAAAAAGUCAGAUGAAUAAAGGUUAUGGACUUUCUUUGUUCUAUGAGAUGCUU